AAAAUUUUGGUUCCUAACCGGACCAUUAGCCCUAAGAGAGUUUUGUACAUUGACAUGGACAUGGGCCCAACGCCCAAUCCAUUACAUGGAAAAUGAAAAGUUCCUAUUCCUCCUAAAAUAUUUGCCCCUUGUCCAAGAGAAUUCAAUACGCUUCAGUUCACUCCACCGUCGUUUAGUAAUGUUUCCUCUGAGUUGGUCACAUCACUUCAUUUCAUACCUCCUCUGAGUAAUCUUCAAUCUUGCACCAUUAUCGCCAUUGUUGUUUCUCUUUCUAUCUCCGUCAUUGGCCUCAAGAAUCGAGGCUAAGGAGAAACAAUGGGCAGACGAAAGGAAUGGCACCACUACAGCAGCAAAGAAACUCCAAUUAAAUGACACUCCCCCGUAACUACAGUAAAGUUCAUGAAUCUGGUGCUUCCACAAGUGUGCAAUGCGCCAACCCUGAUGGAAUGAUGAAUAAAGCUACUAAGCAUCAAAAUAAUGAAACAAUAAUACCAGAUCUCACAAAGGAGGAAGCAAGAGGAAAGAGAAGGGGAAGGCUCCUAUUGAAUCAUGGGUGAAUCUCUUUGAAAAGAAUAGAUAUGCAGCAAAUGGUAUGUCUCUGAAUUAUGUAGCCCCAAUAGUAGAGAAUGGACAACGUAUAGUUGAAUUAGAUGAGGCUGAGAUAGCUAAGGAAACCUAGAAAUGCAAGUGUGAACUAAUUGAUUAUGUAACUAGAGCAAACCCCGAAUAUAAUGCGAUGAUGCGAUAUAUCAACCAAAUUAGAAGGAAAUAGCCCAACCAGAGUUAUAUAUGCAUGAGGAAGGAUAUUCAUUGUCAGAUUUAACUCACUACAUGAUCUACAUGAAGUAUUAUACUCA